AACGUAGGACACAAGCGUUAUCCGGAGUUACUGGGCGUAAAGGGCGUGCAGGCGGUUUCUUAAGUCAGGCGUGAAACCAUUCGGCUAAACCGGGUGUAGUCGUCUGAGACUGGGAGACUAGAGUGUGGUAGAGGCGUGUAGAAUUCCGGGUGUAGUGGUGAAAUGCGUAGAUAUCUGGAGGAACACCGGUGGCGAAGGCGGCAUCCUGGACCAACACUGACGCUGAGGAGCGAAAGCCAGGGGAGCAAACGGG
rnacentral:rRNA from 1 species